UGGGGAAUCUUGCGCAAUGGGCGAAAGCCUGACGCAGCGACGCCGCGUGUGGGAUGAAGGUCUUCGGAUUGUAAACCACUGUCGGGAGGGACGAAGCUCUGACGGUACCUCCAAAGGAAGCACCGGCUAACUCUGUGCCAGCAGCCGCGGUAAUACAGAGGGUGCAAGCGUUGUCCGGAAUCACUGGGCGUAAAGGGCGCGUAGGCGGCCUGGUAAGUAGGGGGUGAAAUCUCAUGGCUCAACUGUGAGGCUGCCUUCUAGACUGCUGGGCUUGAGCACGGUAGAGGCUGGUGGAAUUCCCGGUGUAGCGGUGGAAUGCGUAGAGAUCGGGAGGAACAUCGGUGGCGAAGGCGACAUCCUGGACCAAUUCUGACGCUGAGGAGCGAAAGCCAGGGGAGCAAACGGGAUUAGAUACCCCCGUAGUCCCUGAGCGGGCUGGCAAGGCGCAU
rnacentral:rRNA from 1 species